GGUUCUUGUAGAUGAGAUUAUCAGGAGUAUAGCCAAAUGUAACUUCCACAAACUGAAGCACAGGAGGUGGCAGCUUCCCAACAUCAACAAAACGAAAGACCAGAACCUUGUCUCUGACAACCUUCUCAGUAAGCCCACCCCGCUCCAUUUUUGCAAGGGUUUUCUCCUUGCUCUGUGCUUGACGGGCUAAUUUUGCUGAACCAUGCCCAAAUCUGGCAAUGUACUCCUUCAUUGAAGCAAUCUGCUCCUGCUCCCACUUGUACUGUUUCAUCUGAUUCUCCUCCAGUUCAGCACGUGUCUGAACAUAUUGAUCAUAGUUCCCAGUGUAGAUCUUCAAUUUCUUGUUUUGCAUGUGUAUGAUAUUUGUGCAGACACCAUUCAA
rnacentral:misc_RNA from 1 species